AAGCCAUUUAGAGAAUAAUUUGAACAUAAAUGUGCAAAUAUAUAAGUUUUUAGGUGCUGAGAUUUCUUUUUUUUUUCCUGUCAGUGAACACCGUGUACAUCAAGGAAGAUAAUUACAACUUUUUCAAGUCUUCUAAAAUCGAAUUAUCUCCUUUUGAUAUCUCUGCUUAGAGGAAUACAGAAUGUGGCCACAUGUUACUCUUCUACCAAUGUCAGGAUAAAGCAUGCAUUAGGAUCCCUCAGUGGAGAACUAUGUCCAUUCCAUGCUCCUUCCAACUAGUUUGAGAAAUGGCUCCAAAUUUUCCUUAAUAUUAUUCUGAAUUGCUCUAUGAAGUAAAUGUCAGGCAUUUUAUUUCCAUUUCCCUAAAAUAGAGAAUGGGUUGCUAGGG
rnacentral:lncRNA from 1 species